AUAUUGGACAAUGGGGGCAACUCUGAUCCAGCCAUGCCGCGUGUGUGAAGAAGGACUUCGGAUUGUAAAGCACUUUAAGUUGGGAGGAAGGGCAUUAGGCCAAUACCCUGCAGUUUUGACGUUACCAACCGAAUAAUCACUGGCUAACCCUGUGCCAGCAGCCGCGGUAAUACAGAGGGUGCAAGCGCUAAUCGGAAUUACUGGGCGUAAAGCGCGCGUAGGUGGUUCAGUAAGAUGGGUGUGAAAUCCCCGGGCUUAACCUGGGAACUGCUUUCAUAACUGCUGAGCUAGAGUACGGUAGAGGGUAGUGGAAUUUCCUGUGUAGCGGUGAAAUGCGUAGAUAUAGGAAGGAACACCAGUGGCGAAGGCGACUACCUGGACUGAUACUGACACUGAGGUGCGAAAGCGUGGGGAGCAAACA
rnacentral:rRNA from 1 species